rnacentral:snoRNA from 1 species
AGUUUCUGAUUUGUUGGGAGACUGAAUAAGUCCUUGCAUUGUGUUGACAUCAGCUUCUUCUCUUUGUUCAUGUGAGAUGGGAGUUAAAAUGACUACCGGUAUAA